rnacentral:lncRNA from 1 species
GGAAAAGCAGUAGUGGCAGAAACAAGUGGUGCAGCCAGCCACUUGCAGCAGCAGGAGCAGCGAUUGGACAGUUACACAGCAGAAGCCAUGCAUGCAAAUGAAAGUGAGUGAUCUUCCCAUGUCGAAAUGUUUCCACCACAUAACAGGGAGAAAUGCAGUAAAAGGGAGACCAAAAAAGAAAGCGACAGAGAUUUUCAUUUGAGGGAAGGGUCGUGCUCUACAUAAAGUGAUGGACAAUCCACUUACUUAACAACAAACAAGCCACUUCAACCAAAAAAGAGAAGAAAAAGGAUGGAUGUUAACAAAUUGGACCCAACACUAUGAAUAAAUUAUGUUUUAUCGUUCUGGUGCUCCACUGACACACACACCCACAUCAUUUCUACUUAUAAGGACAGACAGUAAGCGAUGAGGCACUUAGCAUAAACAUUCAAAAAUAUAUAUAUCAAGUGCACGUUUGUGAUCUUCAUGUCUCACAAAAUCCAGCCACAUGAUGCUUGGUUGACAACAUCA